rnacentral:RNase_P_RNA from 1 species
UGAGACCUCUUGAUGGCCGCGGCCGUGAUCUUCAUUGGGAUCGGCUGAGGAACUUCCGGGCUCCAUAGAGCACGAUGGCGGAUAACGUCCGCCCAGGGUGACCUGAGAGAUAGCGCAACAGAGAACAGACCGCCCGUCCUCGACGGGUAAGGGUGAAACGGCGGUGUAAGAGACCACCGGGCCUCUGGUAACAGUAGGUCGCAUGGCAAGCCUCAUCGGGAGCAAGGCCAAGCAGAUGGCGGUAAGGGCUGCUCGCCCGUGUCAUCGGGUAGGCUGCUAGAGCCUGGCGGCAACGUCAGGUCGAGAUGGAUGGCCAUCCGUGCCGUGGUCGCGCACGGCACGACAGAACCCGGGGUAUAAGAGGUCUCAUUUU